rnacentral:rRNA from 1 species
UGGGGAAUCUUGGACAAUGGGGGCAACCCUGAUCCAGCAAUCCCGCGUGUGUGAUGAAGGCCUUCGGGUUGUAAAGCACUUUUUGCAGGGAAGAAAUAGCCCGGGUGAAUAAUCCGGGUGACUGACGGUACCUGCGGAAUAAGCACCGGCUAACUACGUGCCAGCAGCCGCGGUAAUACGUAGGGUGCAAGCGUUAAUCGGAAUUACUGGGCGUAAAGGGUACGCAGGCGGCCAGGCAAGAAGGGUGUGAAAUCCCUGGGCUUAACCUAGGAAUUGCACUUUUAACUGCUUGGCUAGAGUACGUCAGAGGGGGGUGGAAUUCCACGUGUAGCAGUGAAAUGCGUAGAUAUGUGGAGGAACACCGAUGGCGAAGGCAGCCCCCUGGGAUGAUACUGACGCUCAGGUACGAAAGCGUGGGUAGCAAACAGGAUUAGAUACCCUGGUAGUCCACGCCCUAAACGAUGUCAACUAGCUGUUGGGGCCAAUAGGCCUUAGUAGCGCAGCUAACGCGUGAAGUUGACCGCCUGGGGACUACUGUCGCAUGGCU